rnacentral:rRNA from 1 species
CCCUACGGGUGGCUGCAGUGAGGAAUAUUGGUCAAUGGACGAGAGUCUGAACCAGCCAAGUAGCGUGAAGGAUGACUGCCCUAUGGGUUGUAAACUUCUUUUAUACGGGAAUAAAGUGAGGCACGUGUGCCUUUUUGUAUGUACCGUAUGAAUAAGGAUCGGCUAACUCCGUGCCAGCAGCCGCGGUAAUACGGAGGAUCCGAGCGUUAUCCGGAUUUAUUGGGUUUAAAGGGAGCGUAGGCGGACGCUUAAGUCAGUUGUGAAAGUUUGCGGCUCAACCGUAAAAUUGCAGUUGAUACUGGGUGUCUUGAGUACAGUAGAGGCAGGCGGAAUUCGUGGUGUAGCGGUGAAAUGCUUAGAUAUCACGAAGAACUCCGAUUGCGAAGGCAGCUUGCUGGACUGUAACUGACGCUGAUGCUCGAAAGUGUGGGUAUCAAACAGGAUUAGAUACCCUAGUAGUC